UACAGAGGUCUCAAGCGUUGUUCGGAAUUACUGGGCGUAAAGCGUGCGCAGGCGGUUUGUUAAGUCUGCUGUGAAAUCCCCGAGCUCAACUUGGGAAUUGCAGUGGAUACUGGCAAGCUGGAGUACGGUAGAGGAAGGUGGAAUUCCCGGUGUAGCAGUGAAAUGCGUAGAGAUCGGGAGGAACACCAGUGGCGAAGGCGGCCUUCUGGACCAGUACUGACGCUCAUGCACGAAAGCGUGGGGAGCAAACAGG
rnacentral:rRNA from 1 species